GGGGGAAGGAGGUACCUACCUACGUACCUAGCUACCUAUACUUCUGAAAGUAUGCCCUUAACUGGCAUACAUGAUACAUGUACAUAUAAGCCACUUUAGUUUCAGGCAUUUUUACUUCGUAGGUAACUAAUUAAGAUCUUCAGGUGAAUUUUUCAACAAAUUGCGAAAGGUCAAUAAAUCAUUAUACAAACUGGUAACACUGAUUUCAGUAAAUAAGUAAACAAAAGGUGAUAUCUCUCAGUUUGAAAACUGUCAAGUGUCAAUCUGCGAGUACUUUCUGUUUCCUAAAGCUCUUUACUGAUUCCACGUUAAUUACGCCGGCACUCCAGCAGGUGAGGUGAUACGGUUUUCCAGAAAAGAACUAUUGAAUUGUCCAUCAGUUAUUAGAUGUGAAACACAUUGUGGUUCAAUUGUUUUGGCGUAUCCUGCAGCAUCUGGAGUCGGAAGCGAAACCAUCUGUUUAUCGUAUAUUAAAUUGAAAAGGUAUUUUUGUCGAGCUUGGUUCAGUGAUAAGAAACUCUAGAAUCCCCUACGUCUCCGGCUGCAGAACACAGAGUAAACAUGAGUUGUCGCACCAAUGCAAGUUACACAGUUGAGCGUAUAGUUGGUAAACGCGUACAAAAGGGUAGAGUUUACUACCAGGUCAAAUGGAAAGGGUACGAUGAAACUGCCAAUUCCUGGGAACCAGAGGAAAAUUGCAGGAAUGCGAAGAAGUUGAUAUUGGAGUAUGAAGAAAUGGUGAAUGAAGAGUACACCAGUGCGAAUCCAGAGAGCAGUUCACGUAAACGAACCAAAAAAGUUGGAAAUAGCGCCAAAGAAUCCAGACUUCGUCAUCAGAAUCAAUUAACGUCGAAUGAAUAUCACCAUCACCAUAACAGAUUGAUAACAGAUCAAAAUUCGCGAGCAAGAAGCCAUUCCGUUGCAGAAAAUGAUCCAAAAAUGAGACGUAUGCUCUCGAUUAAGCCAGGGAAGUUGAAACGUCGUUAAAGAGAUGAGAUCUGCUCGUAGUUGAGGUGUUUAUGAAUUAACCAUUUUCGAUUACUCAGUUAUCAACUUUUUGGUGGUGUUUUUUUUACAUUGAAUUUCUAUUCUAAGUUUUUGAUUGUAGAUGUUGUAUAUUUUUAAUUUUUGUAUUGUUACCUUAUAUGAUAUGUAUUUUUUUCGUUACUUGGAAAUUUUUUCAUUGCUUGUUGUAGUUGUUGUCAGCGAACUAUAAUAUUUAUUUUGUACAUAUGAAAGAUUAAUUUAGAUUGUAACGAAAAUUUUCAUUCCAUGUUGAUUAAAUUUAUAUUUUUCAUAUU